AAUCUGGUUGAUCCUGCCAGUAGUCAUAUGCUUGUCUUAAAGAUUAAUCCAUGCAUGUGUAAGUAUAAGUAUUGUACAGCGAAACUGCGAAUGGCUCAUUACAUCAGUUAUAAUUUAUUUGAUAAUCGAAAGUUACAUGGAUAACCGUGACAAAUUACAGCUAAUACAUGCAGUCAGACCUGGUCCAAGGGUCGUAAUUAUUAGUAUUAAACCAUUUCCGCAAGGAGUGUGAUGAAUCAUAAUAAUCGAACGAAUCGCCUGUUGUGCGAUAAAUCAUUCAAGUUUCUGCCCUAUCAGCUUUGGAUGGUAGUGUAUUGGACUACCAUGGCAGUCACGGGUAACGGAGAAUUAGGGUUCGAUUCCGGAGAGGGAGCCUGAGAAACGGCUACCACAUCUACGGAAGGCAGCAGGAGCGAAAAUUGCCCAAUCCCGACACGGGGAGGCAGUGACGAGAAAUAACAACUCUUGGUUAUUCUAAGAAGUGUAAUGAGGAUAAUUUAAAACCCUUACCGAAAGCAAUUGGAGGGCAAGUCUGGUGCCAGCAGCCGCGGUAAUUCCAGCUCCAAUAGCGUAUAUUAAAGUUGUUGCAGUUAAAAAGCUCGUAGUUGAAGUUCUGGCUGUUUGACCCUCGAGCUCUGUAGCCGAGGGCUCAACAGUCAUCCGCUUGCAAACAUAUGUUCGCCUUUAACCGGGCGGCUAUGUGAGUAAGCAUUUUACCUUGAGAAAAACAGAGUGUUCCAGGCAGGUUUGUCCGGAAUGCAUUAGCAUGGAAUAAUAGAAUAUGACUGAAGUCGAUUUAUUGGUUUGAGGCUUUAGUAAUGAUUAAUAGGAACAGUCGGGGGCAUUGGUACUUGACAGUCAGAGGUGAAAUUCUAGGAUUUGUCAAAGACUAACAAAUGCGAAAGCAUUUGCCAAGGAUGUUUUCAUUAAUCAAGAACGAAAGUUAGGGGAUCAAAGACGAUCAGAUACCGUCCUAGUCUUAACUAUAAACUAUACCGACUCGGAUUCAGAUGAAUCAUAAAGUUCAUUUGGGACCGUAGGAGAAAUCAAAGUUUUUGGGUUCUGGGGGAAGUAUGGUCGCAAGGCUGAAACUUAAAGGAAUUGACGGUUUUGCACCACCAUGGAGUGGAGUCUGCGGCUUAAUUUGACAACACUGGGAAACUCAUCAGGGCAAGAAGAUUGUAGGAUUGACAGAUUGAGAGUUCUUUCUUGAUUGGUCUAGUGGUGGUGCAUGGCCGUUCUUAGUUGGUGGAGUGAUUUGUCUGGUUAAUUCCGUUAACGAACGAGACCUUAACCUGCUAACUAGUACACCGAUGACAAAUCGGUGAUACUUCUUAGAGGGACUAUGUGAUGUAAUCACAUGGAAGUUUGAGGCAAUAACAGGUCUGUGAUGCCCUUAGAUGUCCUGAGCUGCACGCGUACUACAAUGGUGCUUUCAACGAGCUUUUCCUGAUCCGAAAGGAUUUGGGUAAUCUUUUUAGUGAGCACCGUGCUUGGGAUAGAUCUUUGUAAUUAUGGAUCUUGAACUAGGAAUUCCUAGUAAGCACGUGUCAUCAGCACGUGCUGAUUAC
rnacentral:rRNA from 1 species